rnacentral:rRNA from 1 species
UACGUAGGAUGCUAGCGUUGUCCGGAUUUACUGGGCGUAAAGCGCGCGCAGGCGGCACUGUAAGUAAGGUGUGAAACCUCCCUGCUCAACGGGGAGGGUGCACUUUAGACUGCAGAGCUAGAGGACGGUAGAAGGGGGUGGAAUUGCUGGUGUAGCGGUGAAAUGCGUAGAGAUCAGCAGGAACACCCGUGGCGAAGGCGGCCCCCUGGGCCGAACCUGACGCUGAGGCGCGAAGGCUAGGGGAGCGAACGGG